rnacentral:rRNA from 1 species
GACGAACGCUGGCGGCGUGCCUAAUACAUGCAAGUCGAACGAGUGGCGGACGGGUGAGUAACACGUGGGAACCUACCCAUCAGAGGGGGAUAACACUUGGAAACAGGUGCUAAUACCGCAUACUGAUGGAUGAAACCGCGGUGCAUUAGCUAGUAGGUGGGGUAAAGGCUCACCUAGGCGACGAUCUCUAGCUGGGCUGCGAGGAAGAGCAGCCAAAAUGGGACUGAGACACGGCCCAGACGCCUACGGGAGGCAGCAGUGGGGAAUAGUGCACAAUGGGCGCAAGCCUGAUGCAGCCAUGCCGCGUGUAGGAAGAAGGCCUUAUGGUUGUAAAGUACGUUCAGCGGGGAGGCGUUACCCGCAGAAGAAGCCCCGGCUAACUCCGUGCCAGCAGCCGCGGUAAUAC